rnacentral:rRNA from 1 species
AUACGUAGGGGGCAAGCGUUGUCCGGAAUUACUGGGCGUAAAGGGCGUGUAGGCGGCCGAGCAAGUCAAGUGUGAAACGCCCCGGCUUAACCGAGGCAUUGCACAUGAAGCUGCUUGGCUUGAGUGCAGGAGAGGGAAGUGGAAUUCCUAGUGUAGCGGUGAAAUGCGUAGAUAUUAGGAGGAACACCAGUGGCGAAGGCGACUUCCUGGACUGUAACUGACGCUGAGGCGCGAAAGCGUGGGUAGCAAACAGGAGUAGAUACCCUGGUAGUCCACGCCGUAAACGAUGGGUACUAGGUGUGGGUAGUUCACUCUAUCCGUGCCGCAGCAAACGCAAUAAGUACCCCGCCUGGGGAGUACGGCCGCAAGGUUGAA